rnacentral:lncRNA from 1 species
UCAGCGCACGGGUGCAGAGGCUCCCGGGGAGCCCGGCGUGCUCGGAGCUCGGCGGGACCGGGACCGGCCCCGUGUUCGCAGGGACGUGUUGGAUCCGCCGGCUUUGGAGGCUCCGCCGAGCGGGGCCCACGCGAGGAUUCAGAAAGAAUUAGCUGUGGAACACACUUCGCAUGGAUUUUUAGUUGGGAAGCUGUUUCCUCACUGGGAGAAUCCUGUAGCUAUCUCCUCAGAGGAGCGAGAAAUUCAGAUUUGUGUUGGGACCACCCACUCACUAACUGCUCACUAGGAGAUCUGGACGGUUCCAGAUUCCCAAAAAGGAGACUCUUGUGCUACCUGAGUGCAAAGGCGCUUGGGAAACCUUGCCUGUUGGCCGCCUCGUGUAUUCAGUGCUGCCGUUUGGCAAGAGGUGGAAGGAAGAUGGUGAAGUAGUUACCAACCCCCAUGUCAGGACCCUCAGGGCCAUCUGACGGCAUCUGCCGCGUCCACGCGGAGGACAGCGCAAGAAGGAUCGGUGCCGGGAAGGCCCUCUCACUGAGGUGUCUGAUGUGUGGUCCUGUGACCUCAGUGCCUCUUACUUCUUCCACAGCGUGUUGCAGGUAAGAGUGGAAACGUUACAAGGGUUGGGUGAAUGGUUUCAAAGGAAGUGAUGUAGAGAAGGCUGGUGAUUACCGAUGGCCUAACAGGCAAGUGGCCACCACACCUGCUUGCCGGUGCAUGACCGGGUAGUCUGUCCCGGAAUUCGCACACACCUGUGGUAUUGGUCCUAGACUCGCCUGCUGAACAUCCACUUGGGAAUAUUCAAGAAAAAGGCAGACCGAAAUCUUGGUGAUCUGUUGUGUGGAAGACAGAGGCGCAUAGAUGAUUGUCAUUAGCUGGAGUAAGGUUCCUCAAAGUGAACAUCGACACAGAAGAGGCAGGACUUUGCUGAAGAAGAGUGGGGAUUUGAGAGCUAAGGCAACGUGUAAUUGUGUUCGUGAAGUUUUAAAUUCUUGUUUAUUAACUUUUUAGAUUGCACUUUCCAUCCUGAGAUAAUUGUAGAUUCACGUGCAUGGUGUAGUGCAGUGAUAUUUACAUAUCAUCGUACAACAUCACAACUAGGAUAUUGACAUUGGUACAGUCAAGCUAGAGACAUUCCCUACGCCACAAGGAUCCCUCAAGUCCUUCUAUGGCCACACCCACUUCCCUCGUGUCCCCACUCCUUCCAUUACCCCCAGCAACCACUAAUUUAUCCCCCAUAUAAUUCUGUCAUUUAAAAAAUAUUAUAAAAUUGGGACAUAGUAUGUUUGGGUUUGCUUUUCUCACUCAGCAUAAUUCUCUGAAGAUACCAGUCCUUCUUUAGACAUGUGGCUUGCAAAUAUGUUCUCUGACUUGUUUGCCCUUUUAGCUUUUGACCAGGUCCUUUGCAGAACAAAAGUUUUUAUUUUGAUGAGGUCUAAUUUCUUGAUUUGUUUUCCCUUUUACGGGUCAUGCUUUUCCUGUCAAGCCUAAGAAUAACAACUCUUUGCCUGGCCCUAGAUCCUAAAGAUCAUCUCCUCCUCCUCCUCCUCCUCCUCCUCCUCCUCCUCCUCCUUCUUUUUUAGUUUUAUGGUUUUACAUUUUAAAUUUAAGUUUAUGCUUCUUUUGAGUUUUUGUGUAGGGUAUGAGAUUUACAUCAUGAUUUUGGUGUUUUUUUGUUUGUUCCUUUUCUGUUUCUUUCCCCUUGUCUGUGGAUGUCUAAUUGGUCCAGUACUUUUUUGUUGAAAAGACUCCCUCUCUUCCAUUCAGUUGCUUUGCACCUUUAUCAAAAAUCACUGGGCAGGGGCCCCUGGGUGGCGCAGUCGGUUAAGCGUCCGACUUCAGCCAGGUCACGAUCUCGCGGUCCGUGAGUUCGAGCCCCGCGUCGGGCUCUGGGCUGAUGGCUCAGAGCCUGGAGCCUGUUUCCGAUUCUGUGUCUCCCUCUCUCUCUGCCCCUCCCCCGUUCAUGCUCUGUCUCUCUCUGUCCCAAAAAUAAAUAAACGUUGAAAAAAAAAAAAUCACUGGGCAUAUUUGUGUAGGUCCUUCUCUGAGUUCUCUUUUCCGUCCCACUGAGCUAUUGUCUAUACCUCAGCUGGUAUCAGUCUUGAUUCAUAUAGCUAUGAGUUUUGAAAUUGGAUGGUCUGAUUCCUCUCACUGUAUUCUUUUUCAGAAUUGUCUUAGCUAUCCUAGCUCCUUUUCCUUUCUAUAUAAAUUUUAGAAUAAUCUCAUAUCUACAAAAAAUCUUGCUGCAAUUUUGGGAGAAUCAGCAUCUUUAGUGUUGAGUCUUUCAAUCAGUAAUCACAGUGUGUCUUUCCAUUAAUUUCAUCAUCAUAUGUAGUCUUCAGCGUGUAAUUCCUAUUCAUGAUUUAGAUUUAUACCUAAGUACUUUGCUUUUUGAGUGAUUGUAAAUAGUAUUGUGUUUUUUAUUGAGAUAAAAUUAGUGUAUAAUAUUCCGUAAGUUUCAAGUGUACGACAUUAUAGUUGGACAUCUGUAUGCACUACCAAGUGAUCGCUGCUAAAAGUCUAGUACCAUCCAUCACCAUACAUUUGACCUCCUUCACCCAUUUUGCGCCCCCCCCCAACCCCCUUCCCUUGUGGUAAGCAACAAACUGUUCUGCGUUUCUAUGUGUGUGUUUUGUUUGUUCAUUUUGUUGUUGUUAGACUUCACAUGUGAGGGAAAUCAUAUGGUGUUUGCCUUUCUCUGACUUAUUUCACCUCGCCUAAUACCUUCAAGGUCCAUAAUGGUAUUGUAUUUUUUCUUUCGAUGUCCAUGUGUUCAUUGCUAGUAUAUAGGUUUGGUGUGUUGGUAUAUUUAUCCUGCAACCU